ensembl:lncRNA
AGUUAUGAGCAUCACAAGGAAAACUGCUGAUUUGAGUAACAGAAGAAGUACUAAUGAGUGCAGGACAAUAGGCAUAGACAGGCAGGUAAACAAAAAGCAGAAGCAGAAGUGUAAGGUGAGCCACGUUAUCAGCUGUCCCAUAACAAGAGAGCUGGUCCACUUCUGCUCUGUUAUCCACCAGCAUCACGCACUAUACCAUUGAAGUUCAAGGAGGGACCUCAGAAAUGAAACUACUGCAGAGGGAGAGUAAUGUUUUAUUUAAGAUGCCCUGCGAGCACCAUGAAUUUUACAUGACAGAAGCUCCAUCCCACAACAUCCCUAAACCUCUGCCUUUUAGUCAGCAGGGCUGUGAUCCUGCAGCCAACAGAUGUGCUAUCUCCCACUGGGGCCCCUGCCAUGGGGCUGAGUCAUGCUGCUGACUAACAUACCCCUUGGAUCUAGUGCGGGACUCCGAUGGUGUCUAUGGAGGUAUGCCUGGUAAUAAGUAUUCAGAAAGGCAAGCUUUUACAGUAAACCAACCUAUUCAACUCUCGAUUAGCCAUGGAAGAUUAACUGAGUUUGGGAUUAACUGGAAACUUCCUCUGCAUAGCAACCACAGCUACAACACAGUGACAUAUAACACAGGGUGCACGAGCCUUGAGGCCAAGUCCCACCUGGGAGUCCAACAGGCAAAAGCUGUCCUUGCUUUGCACAGAAACCAACAGGUAAAGGACCUGAAUAUGCUCUUACCCCUAUUAAGCUCCAAGCCAGGAGCUGGUUUUAUGUAGGUUGCCCCGUCCCACAUUGUCUGUGACAGCUGAAAGCUGCCAGUAUCAAAGUGAACCAGAAGAUACCACUACACUAAUACAAGAACAUGCUGUGUAGCCUGCAAAACUUUCCAAACUGUGAGGCAGCUGGUGUGCUGACACCACUGCCUAUGUGCUGAGUAAUGAUGUCUCACUGUCUCUUUGUGCUCCCUUAUCUGUCUCCUUCCAUCUGUUGUUCUCUGCCAUCCAUUUGGAUUGUAUGCCAUUCAAAGCAGGUCUUUCUUCUAGCACCCAGCACUAGGAGCUCAUCUGUGACAGUGCACCACCAAAUCAGUCUGAUAACUCACCUAAAUCAGUAACUGGUGAGUUGAUGUUGUACAGGAAUGCGUAUACGAAUGGAUUAAGAAUAGUGUGCUUGGGUGAAAAGCAUGACUCAGAACUGUUACUAGCAUUAUUCUUUUUCACGUCCAUAAAGCUAAGAAAUGAAAGAAAUGUGGGAGGGGGUAGAAAGAGACAAAAAGGCAAAGAGACAGCAGGCUGGCGGGCAGGCAGCUCUCAAACACAAAGGCACUACACGACUGGUACACAGACCAGAUGCCGAGAAGAACUGAGCAUUUGCAACUCCUACUCACAUUCUCAUUUCUGCUUUUACAGUUAUUCACUUUGCAUGCUUCUCCAUUUUGGUUUUGCUUCAUCUUUCACAUAGAUAAACCACAGUCUGGAUCUUAUCUUCAUAUAUCCAAGCGACUUUACUAUCAUAUCAUGGGCACACACAGCUACACCCACAGGUCAAGGCAUCUCCUUUGCUGCUUUGUGUAUGUGAUGAUAGUGCAACUACUCCGG